rnacentral:sRNA from 1 species
AAAAAAUAACCUAUAUUUAGCUUGAGAGUAUAUUAUGUAACUUUUUAAAGCCAAGUUUUCAUUUCAAAUCAUUUUCUUUCUAUUGUUUUGCUUGAAUUAACAUUGUCUGCAUUCCUUAAGGACACAGCAACUGAUAGCAGAGAGUGAACAGAAUCUGCAGGGAAUUAAAAGAGGAAAAAAACAAUUAUUUAAAGUUUAUUAUGAUUAUUUCACAUAAUAAUUAAGAAUUAGCAAUACUUACUAUAGGUGGACAGAUUAUUAAUUUAUUGAGGCAUUUCAGCUUUUCCUGUUGAUAAGUGACAUUUGUGGUGAUCCCAUGCUGAAUGACAAAGGACAACUGAUUCCCUGAAGAAUAGGAUUCUAGGGUUAGUCCUUUGUGACUACAGAGAAGUACGUAUGUAAAGCACUGAGGGGAAAAAAAAGAUUACUGAAAAGAGGUAAUAUAAUGUUCUUCACCACAUUAUAUUUGUUCUCUCUUUCCUCCAAUGUCUUUGAUCAUGCAGAACAAGCUGACUGACCUGGAGAUACUUGCAUUGCUGAUUGCUGCACUAAGCCACGAUUUGGAUCACCGUGGUGUGAAUAACUCUUACAUACAGCGAAGUGAACAUCCACUUGCCCAGCUUUACUGCCAUUCAAUCAUGGAACACCAUCAUUUUGACCAGUGCCUGAUGAUUCUUAAUAGUCCAGGCAAUCAGAUUCUCAGUGGCCUCUCCAUUGAAGAAUACAAGACCACAUUGA